rnacentral:rRNA from 1 species
GAUGAACGCUGGCGGCGUGCCUAAUACAUGCAAGUCGAGCGAACGGACGAGAAGCUUGCUUCUCUGAUGUUAGCGGCGGACGGGUGAGUAACACGUGGAUAACCUACCUAUAAGACUGGGAUAACUUCGGGAAACCGGAGCUAAUACCGGAUAAUAUUUUGAACCGCAUGGUUCAAAAGUGAAAGACGGUCUUGCUGUCACUUAUAGAUGGAUCCGCGCUGCAUUAGCUAGUUGGUAAGGUAACGGCUUACCAAGGCAACGAUGCAUAGCCGACCUGAGAGGGUGAUCGGACACACUGGAACUGAGACACGGUCCAGACUCCUACGGGAGGCAGCAGUAGGGAAUCUUCCGCAAUGGACGAAAGCCUGACGGAGCAACGCCGCGUGAGUGAUGAAGGUCUUCGGAUCGUAAAACUCUGUUAUUAGGGAAGAACAUAUGUGUAAGUAACUGUGCACAUCUUGACGGUACCUAAUCAGAAAGCCACGGCUAACUACGUG